rnacentral:rRNA from 1 species
UACGGAGAUGCAAGCGUUAUCCGGAUUCAUUGGGUUUAAAGGGUGCGUAGGCGGGCUAUUAAGUCAGUGGUGAAAUCCUGCAGCUUAACUGCAGAACUGCCGUUGAUACUGAUAGUCUUGAGUUUGGUUAAGGUAGGCGGAAUGUGUAAUGUAGUGGUGAAAUGCUUAGAUAUUACACAGAACACCAAUUGCGUAGGCAGCUUACUGAGCCGACACUGACGCUGAGGCACGAAAGCGUGGGGAUCGAACAGGA